rnacentral:rRNA from 1 species
AACGAACGCUGGCGGCAUGCCUAACACAUGCAAGUCGAACGAAGUCUUCGGACUUAGUGGCGCACGGGUGCGUAACGCGUGGGAAUCUGCCCUUGGGUGCGGAAUAACUUCUCGAAAGGGAUGCUAAUACCGCAUAAUGUCGUAAGACCAAAGAUUUAUCGCCCAAGGAUGAGCCCGCGUAAGAUUAGCUAGUUGGUGGGGUAAAAAGCCUACCAAGGCGACGAUCUUUAGCUGGUCUGAGAGGAUGAUCAGCCACACUGGGACUGAGACACGGCCCAGACUCCUACGGGAGGCAGCAGUGGGGAAUAUUGGACAAUGGGCGAAAGCCUGAUCCAGUAAUGCCGCGUGAGUGAUGAAGGCCCUAGGGUGUAAAGCUCUUUACCAGGGACAUGAUGACGGUACCUGGAGAAUAAGCCCCGGCUAACUUCGUGCCAGCAGCCGCGGU